UGCCCGGUCGUCUAAGGGUAGGACGCCACGCUUUGGACGUGGAAAUUGGGGUUCGAAUCCCUGCCGGGCAGCAA
rnacentral:tRNA from 1 species